GGAGUGCAAUGAGUCACUAUAUGGGAGCUUGGGUUAUCAUCUUAUGGAGAUGGUGAAUGUGUUCAAGGUAUGAGAGAGAGUAUAAUAAAAAUGUGAUGCUCAAAAAGAUGGAAUGGAGUAGAGAGUAGCUAUAUCAUCUGAACAUUCUGGUCCUUAAUUUUCCUCUCUAAAAACUAGACAUAAAACAUUCCACUCCAAGGAUAUUUUUAACAUUAGGUUUUUCCUCUCAAUUUCUCAUCGAGGUAUAGUUUACCAACAGCGAAAUACCCAUAUUUUAUGUAUAAAGUUUGAUAAGUUUUUCAAAUGCUUACAAACCCCUGUCAUGAUUUAGCACAUUUUCAUUACU
rnacentral:lncRNA from 1 species